CCAUAUUUUUUUUAUUUAGAUAAAGCACAUUUAUAUAUGAUAUAUAUUAUAGAAUUCGUCUAAACAACAGCCCAACAAUGUUAUAUCUGUAAAUUUGCGGAAGCCUUGCACUAUGCCCGGGAUUCAAACUCAUGCUAUUGAGAUAUCGUGGCACCAAAUCGCCUUGCACUAUGCCCGACGCGCUAGACCACUCAACCACCUAGGCUCUAUAAAGUUUUCGGUGGCCGUGUGUUACCUUUCCUUGACAGUUUUUAUCUAGCGUCGUAACACAGUACAUGAUGUAUUAGGCAUGAAGAUAGAAUUGUUACAGAUCAGCUGAAUUAUCUUUUGUAAAGGAUCCUACAAAUUAAUGUAAGAUGCAGUCACAGAAAUAAUUAUAUUAUAAGUACGUCUGAACCAGUGACGACUCUGCAAUCAAUUUUGUUUUCCAUCGGAUCACCAGCAGUGAUGUUGAUACAAGGCUGAAA
rnacentral:lncRNA from 1 species